rnacentral:rRNA from 1 species
GAUGAACGCUAGCGGCAGGCCUAACACAUGCAAGUCGAGCGAGAAGCCUUUCGGGGCAGUAACCGGAGCACGGGUGCGUAACGAAAAUGCAGACUACCUUUCACACGCGUAUAGCACGAAGAAAUUUGGAUGAAUACCCCACAAUAUUGCUGGAUGGCAUCAUCUUAUAAUUAAACCUGCGGUGGUGAAAGCUGGGCAUGCGUCCUAUUAGCUAGUUGGACUGGUAACGGCAUCCCAAGGCUACGAUAGGUAGGCGUACUGAGAGGGAGAUCCCCCACACGGGGACUGGGACAGCGACCAGACUCCUACGAGACGCAGCAGAGUGGUAGAGUGGGCAACGGUCGGAAGACUGAAACAGCCAUGCCGCGUGCAAGAAGAAUGCCUUGUGGGUGGUAAACUGCUGUUAGAUGGGAAGAAUAAGGUGUACGUGUACAGUGAUGACGGUACCAUAUGAAUAAGCACCGGCUAACUCCGUG